rnacentral:tRNA from 1 species
GGUGCGGUGGUCGAGUGGUAAUACUCUGGUCUACCACUCCAGAGGUCCCCGGUUCAAUUCCCGGCCGGGGCA